UGGAUCCAGACUUUGAUCCUGGCUCAGGAUGAACGCUAGCUACAGGCUUAACACAUGCAAGUCGAGGGGCAGCAUGGUCUUAGCUUGCUAAGACUGAUGGCGACCGGCGCACGGGUGAGUAACACGUAUCCAACCUGCCGUCUACUCUUGGACAGCCUUCUGAAAGGAAGAUUAAUACAAGAUGGCAUCAUGAGUCCGCAUGUUCACAUGAUUAAAGGUAUUCCGGUAGACGAUGGGGAUGCGUUCCAUUAGAUAGUAGGCGGGGUAACGGCCCACCUAGUCUUCGAUGGAUAGGGGUUCUGAGAGGAAGGUCCCCCACAUUGGAACUGAGACACGGUCCAAACUCCUACGGGAGGCAGCAGUGAGGAAUAUUGGUCAAUGGGCGAGAGCCUGAACCAGCCAAGUAGCGUGAAGGAUGACUGCCCUAUGGGUUGUAAACUUCUUUUAUAAAGGAAUAAAG
rnacentral:rRNA from 1 species